GAUCUUGUGGCCUAGUGAUUAGAGCGUUUGCUUCGGGUGCAGAAGGUCGCAGGUUCGAUCCCCGGCCGAGUCAUACA